rnacentral:rRNA from 1 species
AGGACGAACGCUGGCGGCGUGCUUAACACAUGCAAGUCGAGCGGAAAGGCCCUUCGGGGUACUCGAGCGGCGAACGGGUGAGUAACACGUGAGCAACCUGCCCUUAGCUUCGGGAUAGCUCCGGGAAACCGGAAUUAAAUACCGAAUAUGACUUUGGCUGACAUCAGCAGAAGUGGAAAGUUUUUCGGCUAGGGAUGGACUCGCGGCCUAUCAGCUAGUUGGUGAGGUAACGCCCACCAAGGCGACGACGGGUA